UACGAAGGGGGCUAGCGUUGCUCGGAAUCACUGGGCGUAAAGCGCACGUAGGCGGACUCUUAAGUCGGUGGUGAAAUCCUGGAGCUCAACUCCAGAACUGCCUUCGAUACUGAGAGUCUUGAGUCCGGGAGAGGUGAGUGGAACUGCGAGUGUAGAGGUGAAAUUCGUAGAUAUUCGCAAGAACACCGAUGGCGAAGGCGGCCGAACUGGACCACAACUGACGCUGAGCGCGAAGCGUGG
rnacentral:rRNA from 1 species